UACGGAGGGUGCAAGCGUUAUCCGGAUUCACUGGGUUUAAAGGGUGCGUAGGUGGGCAGGUAAGUCAGUGGUGAAAUCUCCGGGCUUAACCCGGAAACUGCCGUUGAUACUAUUUGUCUUGAAUGUUGUGGAGGUAAGCGGAAUAUGUCAUGUAGCGGUGAAAUUCGCAGAUAUUGGGAAGAACACCGGUGGCGAAGGCGACCAACUGGUCCGACAUUGACACUGAGGCACGAAGGCGUGGGUAGCAAACAGG
rnacentral:rRNA from 1 species